rnacentral:lncRNA from 1 species
GGAUAAGGACACUUGGGCUUCAGUGGUGUCUCUUCACAGUUGUGUGACCACAGACAAGUCGCUUCUGGCCUCUGUGAAACUGAUCUCCAAAACGGAUAUGGGGCUGUGCAUACCAUGAGUGAGCAGCACGUUUGCCAACAAUAAUAAUGUUAAUAAGUAGCAUAUAUUACUAUUCCAGGCAUUCAUCUAGUCCUAUUACUAUCACUGUUCCAUUUUACGGGUGAGGAAACUGACAGCUAGAGAGAAGUGACAUGUCCGUUCUCUGGGUCUGGAGUCUUUAAUCACUGUACUACACUGUGCUGGUCCUUGUUCCUAGAAUCUUUGUCCUCUGCCUUCUUUUCCUGAUUACCAGAAACUCAAAACUCAUGCUUCAAACGUCAGGGCAGUGUUGCGUCCUCCUGGAAGCCUCCCAGGCCCUUCCCAUUGGAUUCAGUGGCUUUCUCUUUGCUCCCGUAGCACCUGUCCAUCCACCAUCAUACCUGCUUUACAUUUUCCUGACAGCCUGGACUCUGAGGCGCUGGAGAGGAGGGAGUGUCUCCUGCACCUAUUUCUGGUCCUGGCAGCUAGCAUGGCACCUGGAACGUAGCAGAUGGUCAAUAAAUGUUAGAGGGAAGGAGGAAAAGGGAAAGAAAGAAGAGAGAGAGAAAGAGAGAGGAAGACAGAGGAAAACAACUAAAAAGGAGAGGAAAGAUGUGAAAGAAUUGGGCCCUCUUGGGCGAGAUGACCCUUCCAAAGACGGUAGGAGGAAAAGUAGCAGUGGCCUUAGAGGAAAUUUGAACAUGUUUACCCACAGCCAAAACUCAGCAUUGGACGAUUCCAUGCAUCAGUUAGAAAUUGCCUUUGCUGACAAUAACAAAGACCUCUAAAUAGAGGCUUAAAGAAGAUAAAAUGUUCUCCUCUCUCAGUCUGCAGGUGGGCAGUCCAGGCUAAGAGUGGCCCUUGAUCCUCAAGGACCCAGGGUCCUUCUGUCUUUGCCUGUGCCAGCCCGACCAGGAAGAUUUCAUCUUCAGGUUAUUUCUGAGUCCAAGAUGGCUGCUUGAGCUCAGCUACCAUCACCUCAUUCCAAACAACAGGAAGGAGGAGUGAAAAGAGGUGCCUGGAGUUGUAUGCUGCAAUGAGUUAUAUAAA